rnacentral:tRNA from 1 species
GGUGAGGUGCCUGAACAUAAAGGAUAAUUUUGAUAGAGUUAAUCAUGUAGGAAACCCCUACCCUCACUU